rnacentral:rRNA from 1 species
GACGAACGCUGGCGGCGUGCUUAACACAUGCAAGUCGAACGAAGUGGCGAACGGGUGAGUAACGCGUAAUCAACCUGCCACUCAGAGGGGGAUAACAGUCGGAAACGACUGCUAAUACCGCAUAAUGAAGGAGGGGAUUGCGUCUGCUUGGCUAGUUGGAGGGGUAACGGCCCACCAAGGCGAUGCUCAGUAGCCGGUCUGCGAGGAUGAACGGCCACAUUGGGACUGAGACACGGCCCAGAUGCCUACGGGAGGCAGCAGUGGGGAGGCUUCAGCAAUGGACGAAAGUCUGACGGAGCAACGCCGCGUGAGUGAUGACGGCCUUCGGGUUGGAAAGCUCUGUUAAUCGGGACGCGGUACCGGAAUAGAAAGCCACGGCUAACUACGUGCCAGCAGCCGCGGUAAUAC